AUUGAACGCUGGCGGCAUGCCUUACACAUGCAAGUCGAACGGCAGCACGGGAGCUUGCUCCUGGUGGCGAGUGGCGAACGGGUGAGUAAUACAUCGGAACGUACCCUGAAGUGGGGGAUAACGUAGCGAAAGUUACGCUAAUACCGCAUAUUCUGUGAGCAGGAAAGAGGGGGAUCGCAAGACCUCUUGCUUUAGGAGCGGCCGAUGUCGGAUUAGCUAGUUGGUGAGGUAAAGGCUCACCAAGGCGACGAUCCGUAGCGGGUCUGAGAGGAUGAUCCGCCACACUGGGACUGAGACACGGCCCAGACUCCUACGGGAGGCAGCAGUGGGGAAUUUUGGACAAUGGGCGCAAGCCUGAUCCAGCCAUGCCGCGUGAGUGAAGAA
rnacentral:rRNA from 1 species